GUGCUUGCUUCGGCAACACAUAUACUAAAAUUGGAACGAUACGGAGAAGAUGAGCAUGGCCCCUGCGCAAGGAUGACAUGCAAAUUCGUGAACUGUUCCACAUUUUU
ensembl:snRNA U6 U6 spliceosomal RNA